ensembl:piRNA 21ur-4357 ncRNA
UGGUUUCACUGCACUCGAACU